GUGUGUGUAUGUGUGUAAUGGCUUUAAUGAGAUACAAUUUAUAUACCACACAAUUCAUCCUUUUAAAGUAUGUAAUUCAGUAGUUUUUAGUAUACUUAUAGAAUCAUGAAACCAUCCUACAGUCAUUUUUAGAGCCUUUCUGUCCCUGCAACAAGAAACUCAUACACAUUAUCAAUCACUCCCCCAUCCACCUAUCCCCUAGCCCAGUGAUGGC